UACAGAGGUCCCAAGCGUUGUUCGGAUUCAUUGGGCGUAAAGGGUGCGUAGGUGGCGCUGUAAGUCAGAUGUGAAAUUUCGGAGCUCAACUCCGAAACUGCAUUUGAUACUGCGGUGCUUGAGGACUGGAGAGGAGACUGGAAUUCAUGGUGUAGCAGUGAAAUGCGUAGAGAUCAUGAGGAAGACCAGUGGCGAAGGCGGGUCUCUGGACAGUUCCUGACACUGAGGCACGAAGGCCAGGGGAGCAAACGGG
rnacentral:rRNA from 1 species